rnacentral:rRNA from 1 species
UGGGGAAUAUUGCACAAUGGGCGCAAGCCUGAUGCAGCCAUGCCGCGUGUGUGAAGAAGGCCUUCGGGUUGUAAAGCACUUUCAGCGAGGAGGAAGGUGGUGAACUUAAUACGUUCAUCAAUUGACGUUACUCGCAGAAGAAGCACCGGCUAACUCCGUGCCAGCAGCCGCGGUAAUACGGAGGGUGCAAGCGUUAAUCGGAAUUACUGGGCGCAAAGCGCACGCAGGCGGUUUGUUAAGUCAGAUGUGAAAUCCCCGGGCUCAACCUGGGAACUGCAUUUGAAACUGGCAAGCUAGAGUCUCGUAGAGGAGGGGUAGAAUUCCAGGUGUAGCGGUGAAAUGCGUAGAGAUCUGGAGGAAUACCGGUGGCGAAGGCGGCCCCCCUGGACGAAGACUGACGCUCAGGUGCGAAAGCGUGGGGCAGCAAACAGGAUUAGAUACCCUGGUAGUCCAGCGCUGUAAACGAUGUCGAUUUGGAGUUGUGCCCUUGAGGCGUGGCUUCCGGAGCUAACGCGUUAAAUCGACCGCCUGGGGAGUACGGCCGCAAGG